rnacentral:lncRNA from 1 species
AAGCAAUACAUAUACGUAUACAAAUAACAAAUUUCAUAUAACUCCUUCAUGCUACACGGUAAACUUAAAUUUUGUCUCAAUAUGUAUUAUUUUUGGAAUGUUAUUAUAUACAUUAACAUACUGUUAUAUUUAAUGGUAUAACAGAUAUGUACAUUAUUGUGCAUUUUUAAUGUAUAUGUACAUUGAAAAUAACUACAAAUAUUUUUUUCUUUUGUAUGUGACUGCCCUCGAGACAGAUUAAUGUACAUGAUGUAUCGAAAGUUAUAUUUUCUUUAGAAACAAAAUAUGAUACUAUGACUAUUAUUAUAAGGUGUUCAAUAUGAAACUGGUAUCUUUUGAAGAUUGAAUUAAUAUAGAGGAAAAAAGUUUUUGUCAUAGAGAGAUUUCUUAAAAUACUGAUAUAUGAAGAAAAUAGGAGUUUCCUAUUUCAAAAACAGGAAAAACUCAAUUAUUUGAAGGACAAUCAUUAAAUGACAUAAGUUAUUCACUUUCCAUAUCUGUAAGUGUAAAGUCUUUAUUAACAAUUAAGAACAAUGUUAUAUCUACCAGACCAGAAAGGUGUCCUUAUAUUACUUGUUGCAUCUUCUAGCAUAAAUUAAUACAUGUAUAUGGAGAUAAAAAUACAUACACGAGGGUUACUGUACCAUACACCAUCAGAGGUGGAUUUAGAGUGUGUGGGGGUCCCCCCCCCCCUUUUCUGGGGAAAAAUUGAUAAUAUAGGGAAUCACUGAAGCAUGACCGGAGAGCGCCCCCUCUUAGGCAGUCAGUGGGCCCCCACUUAUGCAAAUUUCUGGAUCCGCCACUGACCAUUAAAGUCUUUCAAUUUUCACAAAAAAAAUGAUUAGGUUUUAUAUACUUGGAAUGGGGUAUAUAACUAUCAAACACAUGUUAAUAAUUAUUAUUUAAAUCUUCAGAAAUGUACUGCUAUUGAAACAUUGACUUCCCUCAGAUGGUAAUUUGUCAGCUUUUCUGUGUGCUUCAGAAAUUUAAUAUUGCACAGUGCAAGUGUGAAAUGGAAAAUUGUGAUGGAAUAAAAAUCUAACAAACCAGGAAGGAAUAAAAUAUUACCUAUUCUGAUGGAAAACAUUAAUAUUUAAUACACCAAAUCAUGAUAGAACUUGUAUUCGAGAAAGUUUAAUUUACAAAUCAGAAUGCAUGGAAAUAAAACUAAAAAAAAAAACCAAAUAAUAAAACAUCACUCAAUCAUCUCACUAAUUUUACACAUGCCUAACAAAUAGCCAAUGGAAAUGCAGCAGAAAUAUUUUCUCAUGAUGCUGCAUAAGCUUAUCAAAUUAACAAGGGUUCUCAAACUAUUGUGGAGAGUUACUUUAUGUUUGUGGAGAAAGAAAAUAAAUUGUACAUUGCGAUAGAAGUGUUGGCAAUUUACAAAUGUGCCAAUGAAUCUAUCAGUUACAACAAUAAUAAGGUGCUUCUAACUGGAGUAGAAAGAGGAAUAUUCAAACUAAUGUGACUUUAUAUAAUUAUAUUGUAUGAAUGUCAAAUAAAAAUUUCAUAUAAUUAUAAAUGCAGAUUUAAUCUACCAAAUUAAAGCUAAAGUGAUUCUGCAACAAAUUGAAA